rnacentral:rRNA from 1 species
UUUGAUGAAGUUUUCGGAUGGAUUCAAAACAGCUUAGUGGCGGAUGGGUGAGUAACGCGUGAGAAACCUGCCUUUCACAAGGGGAUAGCCUCGAGAAAUCGGGAUUAAUACCCUAUGAUACUAUUAAGUCGCAUGACUAAGUAGUUAAAGCGUAAAGCGGUGAAAGAUGGUCUCGCGUCCCAUUAGUUAGUUGGUGAGAUAAAAGCUCACCAAGACUACGAUGGGUAGCCGGCCUGAGAGGGCGACCGGCCACACUGGAACUGAGACACGGUCCAGACUCC